GUGGGGAAUCUUAGACAAUGGGGGAAACCCUGAUCUAGCCAUGCCGCGUGAGCGAUGAAGGCCUUAGGGUUGUAAAGCUCUUUCAGAUGGGAAGAUAAUGACGGUACCAUCAGAAGAAGCCCCGGCUAACUCCGUGCCAGCAGCCGCGGUAAUACGGAGGGGGCUAGCGUUGUUCGGAAUUACUGGGCGUAAAGCGCACGUAGGCGGACCAGAAAGUCAGAGGUGAAAUCCCAGGGCUCAACCUUGGAACUGCCUUUGAAACUCCUGGUCUUGAGGUCGAGAGAGGUGGGUGGAAUUCCGAGUGUAGAGGUGAAAUUCGUAGAUAUUCGGAGGAACACCAGUGGCGAAGGCGGCUCACUGGCUCGAUACUGACGCUGAGGUGCGAAAGCGUGGGGAGCAAACAGGAUUAGAAACCCGGGUAGUCC
rnacentral:rRNA from 1 species